rnacentral:rRNA from 1 species
UGGGAGUAAUUGUGGUAGUAACAGAGAGUUCGAUCAUGGCUCAGAUUGAACGCUGGCGGGAUGCUUUACAUGCAAGUCGAACGGCAGCACGGACUUCGGUCUGGUGGCGAGUGGCGAACGGGUGAGUAAUGUAUCGGAACGUGCCUAGUAGCGGGGAUAACUACGCGAAAGGUAGCUAAUACCGCAUACGCCCUUCGGGAAAGCGGGGACCUUCGGGCCCUGCACUAUUAGAGCGGCCGAUAUCGGAUUAGCUAGUUGGUGGGGUAACGGCUCACCAAGGCGACGAUCCGUAGCUGCUUGAGAGGACGACCAGCCACACUGGGACUGAGACACGGCCCAGACUCCUACGGGAGGCAGGCAGUGGGGAAUUUUUGGACAACAAACCCCGAUCCAGCCAUCUCGUGUGCGAUGAAGGCUCUCGGGUUGUAAAGCACUCUUUUUGGCAGGAAAAGAAACGGCACGGGAUACCCCCGUGCAACUGACGGUACCUGCAGACAAGCACUGCCAACUACGUGCCAGCAGCCGCGGUAAUACGUAGGGUGUGUUUUUCAAUAAUCGGAAUUACUGGGCGCAGCGUGCGCAGGCGGUUCGGAAAGAAAGAUGUGGAAAUCCCAGAGCUUAACUUUGGAACUGCAUUUUUAACUACUGAGCUAGAGUGUGUCAGAGGGAGGUGGAAUUAUGUGUAGCAGUGAAAUGCGUAGAUAUGCGGAGGAAGACCGAUGGCGAAGGCAGCCUCCCGGGAUAACACUGACGCUCAUGCACGAAAGCGUGGGGAGCAAACAGGAUUAGAUACCCCGGUAGUCCACGCCCUAAACGAUGUCAACUAGCUGUUGGGGCCUUCGGGCUUUGGUAGUGCAGCUAACGCGUGAAGUUGACCGCCUGGGGAGUACGGUCGCAGGAUUAAACCUCAAAGGAAUUGACGGGGACCCGCACAAGCGGUGGAUGAUGUGGAUUAAUUCGAGCAACGCGAAAAACCUUACCUACCCUUGACAUGUCUGGAAUCCUGAAGAGAUUUGGGAGUGCUCGCAAGAGAACCGGAACACAGGUGCUGUACGGCUGUCGUCAGCUCGUGUCGAGAUGUUGGGUUAAGUCCCGGCAACGAGCGCGAACCCUUGUCAUUAGUUGCUACGAAAGGCACUCUAAUGAGACUGCUUAUGACAACUGGAGGAAGGUGGGGAUGACGUCAAGUCCUCAUGGCCCUUAUGGGUAGGGCUUCACACGUCAUACAAUGGUCGGGACAGAGUGGUCGCCAACCCGCGAGGGGGAGCCAAUCCCAGAAACCCGAUCGUAGUCCGGAUCGCAGUCUGCAACUCGGGACUGCGUGAAGUCGGAAUCGUAGCAGUAAUCGCGGAUCAGCAUGUCGCGGUGAAUACGUUCCCGGGUCUUGUACACACCGCCUCGUCACACCAUGGGAGUGGGUUUUACCAGAAGUAGUUAGUCAACUGUAAGGAGGGCGAUUACCACGGUAGGAUUCAUGACUGGGGUGAAGUCGUAACAAGGUAA